UACGGGGGGGGCAAGCGUUGCUCGGAAUUACUGGGCGUAAAGCGCACGUAGGCGGUCUUUUAAGUCGGGGGUGAAAUCCUGGAGCUCAACUCCAGAACUGCCUUCGAUACUGGAAGACUUGAGUCCGGGAGAGGUGAGUGGAACUGCGAGUGUAGAGGUGAAAUUCGUAGAUAUUCGCAAGAACACCGGUGGCGAAGGCGGCUCACUGGCCCGGUACUGACGCUGAGGUGCGAAAGCGUGGGGAGCAAACAGG
rnacentral:rRNA from 1 species